UGGGGAUUCGUCUAGCGGUAGGACGACUGACUCUGACUCAGUAAGCUCUGGUUCGAAUCCAGAAUCCCCAU
rnacentral:tRNA from 1 species